GGGAAAAGCUCAAAUUUAAAAUCUGGUGGCCUUUGGCCAUCCGAGUUGUAAUUUAGAGAAGCGUCUUCCGCGCUGGACCGUGCACAAGUCUCCUGGAAUGAAGCAUCAUGGAGGGUGAGAAUCCCGUCUUUG
rnacentral:rRNA from 1 species